AAAAAAACACAGGCGUUUUAAGGAUUCACUUAUCUUUCAGGAACACAGGCAUGUUCUUACUUCCCAGCAUGCCCAUAUUUCCUGUUCUUAUGUCUUGUUUUCCUCUGUUUGGGAUGAUGCAAGUUUUAUAGGACUCCUAUUCUUUAUUUUUAAUUUAAAUUCUAUAUCUAAGGUAUUAAACAGUAGACCUCAUGGUUAACUCAAAAAAGAUAUGUAGAUUCACAGUCUUCAGGUAUAUAAUAAUUCAGGUUAGUUCUGGAGUAUCAAAGCCACAGCAAAUGAAAUUUGAGGUGGCCCCAUCUAAAUGAAAAUGCAGUUCCUUCUUCUCGUGAAGACCACAACCCAUGUUAUCAACAAUCUAUUCAUUUAUUUUUCUCCAUGAGGAAAGAAUAAUCUUCCAAGAGGCAGCUUGCUGAGAAAUUUACCUGAGGUAUCUGCAUUUUUUUCUUACAUGGCAUGAUGCCUGGAAGUCUGGCAAUGAAAUGUGAGUUUAAACUAAUAAAGACAAACUGACCAAGUGUUUUUAAUACAUGCACAAUAAUUUCUGCUCAACAGAUGAAGCUUGGUUGUUUGUUUCUUACUGUACAGGACAGUGCAGAUUGGUUUGCAAUUGAUUUUUGAGCUCUAUUUCCAGAUGCUGACGUAAGUGCAACAUUUAGGCAUGGGCAAAUCACUGUCAUUCCACUUUCCUCUUCACUCACAGGUGCACGGCUCUCUGAGGACAGAGUUCAGGUGAGGUCUGGCACAUUAUUAAAAAUGAAGGCCCUAAAUUGAUGAAGAAAACAUCUCAGACAUGGGCUCUUGGCAUUGAUGAGGUUUGUAGCAAGCCAAAAUGAAAUGCCAGAGGAUCAUUUCCUGUUUAAUCAACAGCAACAGGCUCACAGUCAAGAUUCUAUUAUGCAUUUUUCAAGGGCUUUUCCUUGAAGAUUACAUGUCUUGUCAGGAGCCUUCUCCAUUUACCAGGUCUCACAGACUAAUGGCCUGGGAUUUAGGCUGCACUGGGAAGAUGUAGAGGUACCACAGCUGCUGCUUCUGGAGUUUGAAUUAUCUCGUCUGUGUUCGCUGCAGAGCUUGUGUAGUCAGAUAUUCAUCUGAAGGGAGUCCCUGAAAAAUCUGAGAUUAUUGCAGGAAGUACUUCUGAGGUGAGAUGGGGAUAGAAAUCAGAAGCACACAUAAGUAUUCAUGGUUCAGAAGUGAUUGCACAAGGACAAUCAAAGCAAACUAUUAUUUUAAAACAGCUCUAGGGAUGUUAAAAUAUUAGAAAUAAGAUGGUUUGACCUUAGUGCAGUGAAACUCUUAAAUGCAGUUUUAAAGAAUAAGAACUUUCCAAGAAACGAGGUCUGACAAGGCAUCUAAUCUCCUGUGAAUUGAUACCAUAUUAAUCUAAGAAAUGCAGCAUAUUUCAGCGGAGGUAAUAGCACUUACCUUUUCAGAAUGCUUCUCACAUAGGGUCUGAGCCAAAGGUCCUUUGAAGUCAAUGGAAGUUUUCCAUUUUUAAAACUAUGUAUUAUUAAAAAGUAUGUAUUAUGAAAUAGGCAGAACUAAGUGAAAUAAUAGAUACAGAUUGUGACAUUAAACUUACAAUUCC
rnacentral:lncRNA from 1 species